CCCUUAGAUGUCCGGGGCUGCACGCGCGCUACACUGAAGGAAUCAGCGUGCUAAAACCAUUGUCGAAAGGCAUUGGUAAACCCAUUAAAAUCCUACGUGAUUGGGAUCGGGAAUUGCAAUUAUUUCCCUUGAACGAGGAAUUCCCAGUAAGUGUGGGUCAUAAGCUCGCGUUGAUUACGUCCCUGCCCUUUGUACACACCGCCCGUCGCUGCCCGGGACUGAGCCGUUUCGAGAAAAGCGGGGACUGCUGCUGUCGGGGCUUUCGGGCCUUGGCUUCGGUGGAAACCGCUUUAAUCGCAGUGGCUUGAAUCGGGCAAAAGUCGUAACA
rnacentral:rRNA from 1 species